rnacentral:lncRNA from 10 species
AGAAAUGGCAAAUUCAAGCCACAGUGAGCUGCCAUUUCACGCCCAUCAGAAGGACAACAAGGAAAAAUUUGGUCACUAUCAAGAGUUGAUGAGGAGGGCCCAGCUGAGCCCUGCAUGAGACAUUCAGCAGAAGACACCGCAGAAAGCCAAGGAGUAACAAGGGAGGAAUAAAGGGACCACAUUGAGGACCUGAGCAGGUCAGACCCCACCUGGCAGUAGCCAUCUUGCCUGCCCACCUGUCUUGCCUCCUCUGCCUUCCAAGUUCCAGUUUCAUGUGCUUCCGAUUUGAGGCCCUGCCUCCCCAUGGUGAUGGACAACAGGAAGCCAGAGCCAGGGGGUGACACUGCCCCCUUCAGGCUCUCCUUACCGCUGCACCAGACUCCUUCCAGGGUGGACAAGCUGCCAUGGAAAGAAAGUAACCACUGGAAAUUCUUUUUUAGUUCUAUUUCAAUUCUAGGAACAUUUAUUGAGUCUACCCGGGGUCAGGCAUGGAGGCCGGUGGUGCAUAAGACAGACACAGCCAUUACCCUCAAGAGCUUAAUUUCUUGUAAUUGGACAAAUAACUUAAUGAGAAGGUGUGAGUUGCCUGGCACAGAGCAGAUGUUCAGAACAUUUGUUCUGCAAACAUGUCGAGUAGGGUUGCUAGAGUUAACCAAUAAAAAUACAGAAUGCUCAGUUAACUGUGAAUUUCAGAUAAACAGCAAAUAAUUUUUAGGAUGAACAUUCCUGGCAUUUACUUCCUGGCCUGCUUGUGCAAAUUAUUCACACUCGUAUGCAAUAUUUGGAAAAUAUUUAUACUAAAAAAGUAUUUGGCCAGGUGCGGUGGCUUGUGCCUAUAAUCCCAGUACUUUGGGAGGACAAGGCAGAUCCCUUGAGCCCAGGAGGUAGAGGCUGCAGUGAGCUGUGAUGGUGCCACUGCACUCCAGCCUGGGCAAUGAAGCAAGACCCUAUCUGAAAAAAAAAAUUUUUAAAAAAGGCAAAGAUGGGCCUGGGGCACCAAAUAUUCCAGAGGAAAGGGAACGUGUGUACUCCUUGAGGUGGGGAACAUGACCCACUUGAGGUGCAGAAAGAAGACUUGUAUGGGGCUGGGCGCGGUGGCUCACCCCUGUAAUCCCAGCACUUUGGGAGGCCGAGGCAGGCGGAUCACCUGAGGUCAGGAUGUCGAGACCAGUCUGACCAGCCUGAGAAACCCUGUCUCUACUAAAAAUACAAAAUUAGCUGGGCAUGGUGGCGCAUGCCUGUAAUCCCAGCUACUCGGGAGGUUGAGGGAGGAGAAUUGCUUGAACCUGGGAGACAGACGUUGCGGUGAAGCAGGUUGGGUUGCGCCAUUG